rnacentral:rRNA from 1 species
AUUGAACGCUGGCGGCAGGCUUAACACAUGCAAGUCGAGCGGUAGCACAAGGGAGCUUGCUCUCUGGGUGACGAGCGGCGGACGGGUGAGUAAUGUCUGGGAAACUGCCUGAUGGAGGGGGAUAACUACUGGAAACGGUAGCUAAUACCGCAUAACGUCGCAAGACCAAAGAGGGGGACCUUCGGGCCUCUUGCCAUCAGAUGUGCCCAGAUGGGAUUAGCUAGUAGGUGGGGUAAUGGCUCACCUAGGCGACGAUCCCUAGCUGGUCUGAGAGGAUGACCAGCCACACUGGAACUGAGACACGGUCCAGACUCCUACGGGAGGCAGCAGUGGGGAAUAUUGUACAAUGGGCGCAAGCCUGAUGCAGCCAUGCCGCGUGUGUGAAGAAGGCCUUCGGGUUGUAAAGCACUUUCAGCGAGGAGGAAGGUGGUGAACUUAAUACGUUCAUCAAUUGACGUUACUCGCAGAAGAAGCACCGGCUAACUCCGUGCCAGCAGCCGCGGUAAUACGGAGGGUGCAAGCGUUAAUCGGAAUUACUGGGCGUAAAGCGCACGCAGGCGGUUUGUUAAGUCAGAUGUGAAAUCC